AUUGAACGCUGGCGGAAUGCUUUACACAUGCAAGUCGAGCGGCAGCACGGGGGCAACCCUGGUGGCGAGCGGCGAACGGGUGAGUAAUACAUCGGAACAUGCCCAGUCGUGGGGGAUAACACUUCGAAAGAAGUGCUAAUAACGCAUACGUCCUGAGGGAGAAAGCGGGGGAUCGCAAGACCUCGCGCGAUUGGAGUGGCCGAUGUCAGAUUAGCUAGUUGGUGGGGUAAAGGCCUACCAAGGCAACGAUCUGUAGCUGGUCGGAGAGGAUGAUCAGCCACACUGGGACUGAGACACGGCCCAUACUCCUACGGGAGGCAGCAGUGGGGAAUUUUGGACAAUGGGGGCAACCCUGGUCCAGCCAUUCCGCGUGAGUGAAGAAGGCCUUCGGGUUGUAAAGCUCUUUCGGCAGGAACGAAACGGCGAGCUCUAACAUAGCUUGCUAAUGACGGUACCUGAAGAAGAAGCACCGGCUAACUACGUG
rnacentral:rRNA from 1 species